CAGGUGUGGUGGUGCAUGCCUGUAGUCCCAGCUACUCAGGAGACUGAGGCAGGAGGAUUACUUGAAUCCAGGAGUUCUGGCUAUAGUGCAUUAUGCCUAUUAUGUAGGUAUACUAAGUCUGCCAUCAGUCUGGUGACUUCCCUGAAGUAGGGGACCACCAGGUUGUCAAAAGAUAGGUGAACUGGCCCAGGUCAGAAAGGGAGCAGGUCAAAAGCCCCAUGCUUAUCAGAAAGUACAAAGACUAGAUUAGAACUACACUCUCCAAAGUUCCAAACUAGUUAGUGUAUUGU
rnacentral:SRP_RNA from 1 species